rnacentral:lncRNA from 1 species
AUAUAUAAACACAAAUAUGCAUAACGUUACACACAAAUAUAUAUAGGAUGUGGUUCUAGAGAGAACUACAUUAUUUGUGAGAACGUUAGAAUCAUCAAAUCUAAUGCAUCAACUGUUAAAAUUAAUGCACUAAAAAACAUAAAAAAAAAAUUUGCUCCCUUCAGGAUUCGAACCCAGGUUCUGCAUUCAUCCAACAAGAUGAUGCAUCCACC